UCAGGACGAACGCUGGCGGCGUGCUUAACACAUGCAAGUCGAACGGCCCGCCCUGACUGAAUCCUUCGGGAUGAAGACAGGAUCCGGGCAGUGGCGGACGGGUGAGUAACGCGUGGAGAACCUGUCUUCCAGUCCGGGAUAACCUGGCGAAAGCCGGACUAAUCCCGGAUAGACUAAUAGCUGAGCAUUCAGCUAAUAGGAAAGGUGGUGUAAGCCAUCGCUGGGAGGUGGCUCCGCGUCGGAUUANCUAGCUGGUGAGGUAACGGCUCACCAGGGCGACGAUCCNUAGCUGGUCUGANAGGACGAUCANCCACACUGGGACUGAGACACGGCCCAAACUCCUACGGGAGGCAGCAGUGGGGAAUCUUCCGCAAUGGGCGAAAGCCUGACGGANCAACGCCCCGUGAGUGAAAAAGGCCUUCGGGUCGUAAAGCUCUGUCCUC
rnacentral:rRNA from 1 species